ACAGACAGUCCACAGAGCAGCAUCAGGAUGGAAGGGAUCUUCAUUGGUGUCUUGUGUCUCUCAGGGUGCCUCACCUUCUCCACAUGCCUCCUCCAUCAGUACCACUUUGUGCCUGAUAAGAUGACUUGGACUGAAGCUCAGAGCUACUGCAGAGAGACGUA